CGAAAUAUGACAACGGUUGGAGACCUCAAAGGGAAAAAUGUUCUAGCAAGUUUCUCAGCACUCAAGAGUGAAUGCCCAUGUUGAGAGAGGCUGCUACACCACAGCCCCUUGCCCAUGCUGCGGUCAGCAGGGAUGCAUUGCCUGGACGAUCUGCUUUGCUGCACGUAUGCCAUCAUUUGGGGACAUGGGAACGACCAGAGGUUGCUGCAUAGGGAAGAGACAUGUGGAUGGCAUCUGUGAUGACUCAGGUGGCUAAAACCAGACUGCAAACCUUCAGAGUCACUGGCAGACCUCUGGCCUUCAGCAGCCUCAGGCUUUUGCAUCAUUGCUCAGCAAAUUGCCCCAAACAAUUUUGGGAGGAACUAUUAAGAAAAAGUGUCUCGUAGAUGACCAGUGGCCAGCCAUCACAUCUGACUGGAAAAAACACUCUCACCACUUGGAGGGGAGGAGCUCAUGAGAAAGCAGUGACUCUUGGCAGUCCCCAUCGAGUGCAACAGAAGGUGUGCAAGAACCGUGCGACAUGGAAAUGGGCUGGCAGGGUGGACCAUGCCCCACACAGUGCCUAAACCCAGCUCUGGGUCCAGCUCUGAGCGUGAGGCUGUCCCA